GUUUACCGUUCGCGGUUGGCUGAAUCCGCGGACUCUUAACCCGCGGAUACGGAGGGCUGACUGUAAAAUGGAGUCUUCCAGAUCUACGAUCAACAAGGACUCAUUCCGAGAAGGAAAGCCCCAUGUUGAAACCACGCUUUCGUCUUCACUGAGGAUCUGGAGCAGCUCUCAGCUGUUCACGCUGAUGACACAGAGCGAGCAAAACGGAGCCCAGGGUCUUAUGGAAAGCAGAAGCACUCAGAAGCAUUCACACGGGGUUAGUCCUGCUCUUCAGACCAGGGAUUAAAGGCAGCAAAAUACAUUGCCUCUUCUCAUGAGUAUAAAUAAAGA
rnacentral:lncRNA from 1 species